AGUGAACGCUGGCGGUAGGCCUAACACAUGCAAGUCGAACGGCAGCACAGUAAGAGCUUGCUCUUACGGGUGGCGAGUGGCGGACGGGUGAGGAAUACAUCGGAAUCUACUUUUUCGUGGGGGAUAACGUAGGGAAACUUACGCUAAUAACGCAUACGACCUACGGGUGAAAGCAUGGGAUCUUCGGACCUUGCGCGAUUGAAUGAGCCGAUGUCGGAUUAGCUAGUUGGCGGGGUAAAGGCCCACCAAGGCGACGAUCCGUAGCUGGUCUGAGAGGAUGAUCAGCCACACUGGAACUGAGACACGGUACAGACCCCUACGGGAGGCAGCAGUGGGGAAUAUUGGACAAUGGGCGCAAGCCUGAUCCAGCCAUACCGCGUGGGUGAAGAAGGCCUUCGGGUUGUAAAGCCCUUUUGUUGGGAAAGAAAAGCAGCAGGUUAAUACCCCGCUGUUCUGACGGUACCCAAAGAAUAAGCACCGGCUAACUUCGUG
rnacentral:rRNA from 1 species